CCUACGGGGGGCAGCAGUGGGGAAUAUUGGACAAUGGGGGCAACCCUGAUCCAGCCAUGCCGCGUGUGUGAAGAAGGCCCUCGGGUUGUAAAGCACUUUCAGUGAGGAAGAACGCCUGGUGGUUAAUACCCAUCAGGAAAGACAUCACUCACAGAAGAAGCACCGGCUAACUCCGUGCCAGCAGCCGCGGUAAUACGGAGGGUGCGAGCGUUAAUCGGAAUUACUGGGCGUAAAGCGCGCGUAGGUGGCUUGAUAAGCCGGUUGUGAAAGCCCCGGGCUCAACCUGGGAACGGCAUCCGGAGCUGUCAAGCUAGAGUGCAGGAGAGGAAGGUAGAAUUCCCGGUGUAGCGGUGAAAUGCGUAGAGAUCGGGAGGAAUACCAGUGGCGAAGGCGGCCUUCUGGACUGACACUGACACUGAGGUGCGAAAGCGUGGGUAGCAAACAGGAUUAGAUACCCUUGUAGUC
rnacentral:rRNA from 1 species